rnacentral:rRNA from 1 species
UACGGAGGAUGCGAGCGUUAUCCGGAUUUAUUGGGUUUAAAGGGUGCGUAGGCGGGCUUUUAAGUCAGCGGUAAAAACGCGGGGCUCAACCCCGUCCGGCCGUUGAAACUGGGGGCCUUGAGUGGGCGAGAAGAAGGCGGAAUGCGUGGUGUAGCGGUGAAAUGCAUAGAUAUCACGCAGAACCCCGAUUGCGAAGGCAGCCUUCCGGCGCCCUACUGACGCUGAGGCACGAAAGUGCGGGGAUCGAACAGG